rnacentral:rRNA from 1 species
GACGAACGCUGGCGGCGUGCCUAAUACAUGCAAGUUGAGCGCUGAAGGUUGGUACUUGUACCAACUGGAUGAGCAGCGAACGGGUGAGUAACGCGUGGGGAAUCUGCCUUUGAGCGGGGGACAACAUUUGGAAACGAAUGCUAAUACCGCAUAAAAACUUUAAACACAAGUUUUAAGUUUGAAAGAUGCAAUUGCAUCACUCAAAGAUGAUCCCGCGUUGUAUUAGCUAGUUGGUGAGGUAAAGGCUCACCAAGGCGAUGAUACAUAGCCGACCUGAGAGGGUGAUCGGCCACAUUGGGACUGAGACACGGCCCAAACUCCUACGGGAGGCAGCAGUAGGGAAUCUUCGGCAAUGGACGAAAGUCCGACCGAGCAACGCCGCGUGAGUGAAGAAGGUUGUCGGAUCGUAAAACUCUGUUGGUAGAGAAGAACGUUGGUGAGAGUGGAAAGCUCAUCAAGUGACGGUAACUACCCAGAAAGGGACGGCUAACUACGUG